UGGGGAAUAUUGGGCAAUGGGCGCAAGCCUGACCCAGCAACGCCGCGUGAGGGAAGAAGGCUUUCGGGUUGUAAACCUCUGUCCUUGGUGACGAAACAAAUGACGGUAGCCAAGGAGGAAGCCCCGGCUAACUACGUGCCAGCAGCCGCGGUAAUACGUAGGGGGCGAGCGUUGUCCGGAAUUACUGGGCGUAAAGGGUGCGUAGGUGGCCUUUUAAGUUGGAUGUGAAAUACCCGGGCUUAACUUGGGGGGUGCAUCCAAAACUGGAAGGCUAGAGUGCAGGAGAGGAAAGCGGAAUUCCUAGUGUAGCGGUGAAAUGCGUAGAUAUUAGGAGGAACACCAGUGGCGAAGGCGGCUUUCAGGACUGUAACUGACACUGAGGCACGAAAGCGUGGGGAGCAAACAG
rnacentral:rRNA from 1 species